CAAUAGCUAAUCCUCUCACAAACAUGCUUGUGAACAUUUUUUAUGUCACAGAAUAGCCAAUAAUGAAAACAUCUGAAAGAGAAAACACUUUUCUUGCAGUGUUUUCCCAUUAUUGAAGCUAGAUCACUCUCAGAUGACUAUGAACAGAACAACAAGCAGAAAAAUGAAAUAAAUUGUACAGCCAGCUCUGCUUGGGAAGAGAAUCAUCUGCUCACCAGAGCAAGUAAGACCCCUGGAUGCAAUAGUUCUUCACAUGCAUUUUCAAAAUCUGAUCUGGGAAAAACUGUUAAGCUUUAUCCCCAUCUCUGAGAACUAUUUUGAUGAUGUCUUUUUAAACAGCUUGUUCCAUCACUUACAAUAUCAGCUGAGGGUUUUUACUGAUGCAGAAUUCUCUGGUAGUGGAUGAGCUAGUCAAUACAUUCUCACAUCUGCCUACGCUCACUGAUGACUGUUUCUUCAUGGCAUAGGCAAACAACAAUUUUUGUCUUGCUUUUUAGCCUCUACUUUCUUGUUCUGAGCUGGCUCAGAGUUCAGACAGCUGCAGAAACAUUUCCAGCUGCGAGGGAGGAAGCUGUAAUUGCUAACCCUGUGAUGGGCCGAGUAUGCCAUUACCCUUUGAGGAGAAGCUACAAUAACGUUUGUGUUAUGUUGUGGUUAUUGAAAGAAAACUCGGGGAAAUUUUCAGUGGUGGGGAUGAGAACUCAAACAGUGCAUUGAGAAUAAGAGCUUGUAAUUCAUUGCGUAUACGAAGUCCCAAGCAAUGGGGCUGCAGUCAGUGGACAAUUGGAUACUCCUUUCCUCCUGUAUGGGACCUGUUGAGUCAUAGCCUUGAACCGCUGACUGAUCACCUGAGGAAAGGACUGAGUCAGCCAUGGGAGCACAGGUGAAAGUAAUUCAUCUGUGUGAUCUCCCAGGCCCCAUUUAAGGGCUGACUGGCACUGGGGAAGGUUCUCUUUCUGGAGAUCCCUCCCCUGUGGAGUCUUUCCUGCAAUCCGAGAUCUUCAGAUACAGGCUAACUCGAUUCUUCUUCCUUCUGGCCAGAACACACGCCACUGAAGGAACGAUUUAUUUCCUGAAACCAUGCUGCUUUCAGCAGUUUCAAAUAGCUUUAAAUUAUGUGAAGUAAAACAAAAGUCUUCAAAUCUACAAGAAGUUCUCCAUUAGCUGUGUGUUUUUCUCUAAGGAAAUUAUUGCUUUUUAAUCUGCCAUUCAUCUCAUCCACAGAGGAACAAAGUGGAUUUUCAGGUCAGAUACCUCUCUUACAAAUCAAUAAGACGUUGUUGAAAAGUUGGAAUUUGAAAGGUACGGUAGAAAUUAUACGUAUGUGACUCCUGUGUAAAUGAUGUACUUAAGUCUGUGCAAUAUUGAGAGAUGUUUGAACCCAGGUGGGUUCUUGGCUGGAUGGACCCUACAAGUGAAACAAAUGAAGUCAUAGAGAUUGCUAGUUUUUGUCAAGGAGGUGUGUAAGAUGUUUUUGUUUCAGGCGCCUUAUUCCUUAAGGUAACGUAUAUCAGUGUACGUGAAGAAACUGGGUCAUACUCUAUUAGGUUUGGCAGAAAUAUAGUAAGCAAAAAGUGGAUGUCCUAAUAGGCUAUAGAGAUGGAACUGUAAGGCUGGGAGUACUUGGGAUGCAUGAACAAGACUCGGCUGUAUUGUGGGAAUUAGCUUUGUAUCAUGAUAAUGCUGAUGCUUUUUUGGAAUUGAUCUGAAAUAUAAAUAAUUGAUUUUUCAAAAGUAAAGCUUCUAAAAAUGAAAGGAAGAAGUGUCCUGUUGAAACUUGACAAGGAAUAAAAUAUUUUAAUUGAGCUCCUAAACUGGUAUUUGAGUAAUGGCAGUUAUCACGAAUGGAUCACUUCAAAGACGUACUCUAGGCUGGCCAAGAAGGCAUCGGGCCACUCUGUGGCUUUUUUUCCCCAUGCAGUAUAAGCUUCAAAAACUGUCUAUUGCCAGGUUUAACUUUUAUGUGGACUGAGAUGAUGGGAGCUGGCUACUAAUAGUGAAGCACUAAAUGUCCUUCAUUUCUCCUGAUCAUUUGUACUUGCUAGGCUGUAGCCAGCUUGUGAGGUGUUUUGGCUGUGGAGAUAUUUCUACACUGUGACGCUUGUUUCCAUCCUGAUUGAAAAUUACUCUAAUUAAAGCUUGUUCCCUGGUUUUCUGCUCCUCAUAAAUGCAGUGAUUCUGGAGUAGAUUAAUGAUAUAUAUUUUGAAAAAUGCUGAUUAUCAAGUCUGAUUUUUCUUUUUGUGCCAAUGUGUUGCUUCUGACAACAUCUUCUGAUCGGAACAAGACUCUGUACAAAAAUCUUUAAGCAGCUGCAUUUUUAUGAAUAUAUUAAUUUCAUUACUUAUUCUUCCUCUGAUGAAGACCUGAAACCAGUCUUCCAUCUGAAAUGUAAAACUUAUAAUUGUUUACAUGUAUAUGAAUAUAUAUUUAUAUGCAUAUAUACCUAUAUACCUAAGCUUCUCCAUGCAAAUUGAAGACAAACCUUGACAUUUUCUACAUCUUAUUUUUUUCUUUUAAUGUCUCGGGCAGUUCGUUAUACAGGAAAUAUGCCAUGAUUCAUCCAUUCUAAUAGAUUCCACCCCCAACUAGGGCUGAAUUUUCCAUCUUUUGAAGAAGAAUUUCAUGCCGUUAAUGAUGUACGUUCAGACUAGGUAACCUUACUUCCUGAGUUUCCUUUCCUUUCUUGGCAAUACUAAGUGGCAAAGCAAAAAGCUGCAGAACAAAACAUUUUCUCGACUUGGAGGCUCCUAGCAAAUGUUUCAUUCCUCAAACCGAGCUCUUUCCUGCUUAAAUCUUUCGUAACUUGUUUGGAACUUAAUGAGCCCCACAUGUCUUGGCUCCCAGCACCAGCCAGACUGCAACAGCAGAACAAGUCUCCUGCUCUGCACAGAGUCAUGAAAAAUGUCAGUCUUGCCCAGUACUUUUUUGAAAUCUUUUUCUUUUUUUUGUUUACACUCUGAGGACUUUAUUUGCUGGUCAGCUGACCCCCUAAAUUCAAAACUGAAUUUACGACACACUGCAAGUCUCCUGCGUGGUUAUGAAGAUAGCAGACAAAAUAGCACUGUAGUGCUCCGAUCUCUCUUGGAUUCUCAUGAAAUAUGAUGCCAAGGCUGAAGUUUUAGGCCUGAUAAAAACUAUCCACAGGAACUUCUUGAUUGUUCCAGAAAAUCUACUUUCCUUUUCACCAGCACGAUUACAAAGGAUAAAGUCACAAAUGUGGCACCCGCUGUGAAUGGCAGAGGUUUGGCGGAAGGUGGUUCCUGACCAGAGAGGUUUACAAUAAUAUAUAGAAACAGACAAUAAUCUAUUUUAAAAUUUGUAUGUGUACAUGUCUAUAUAUACACAUUUAUAAACUGCUUUGAAGCCAUUUCAGAAACCAUCUCAACAGUAGAGAAACAGCAGAAGCGACUCAUUUGAUAAAGCAAAAGGUAUCUAAGAUAUCUAGAUGAAAUACCUUGGUAAAAGAAAAAGAAAAACAAUCCCUGAAAUCUCAAAAAGAGUACUGUUAUGUAGAGUUUUCAUACGUAUUUUCCAUACUGAGAUAGAAAUUCAUAUCUAGCUAUGUAGGUAUUCUCUCUUUCUUCUACAGAAGUUGCUCUUAGCAUUUGUAUGCCAUAACAAUAUUAUAAGCCACACGAAGCUCUGAGAUUCAAUAAAGUAAUUUAGAAAAAGCAGAUUGGCUAAGAGGGGUGGUCAAUGGUUUUAAUUACUUUUUUUUUUUUUUUUUUUUUUUUUUUUCAAUUAAAACUGUAUGGUGAAAUUCAUACUGAGUAGGAAAAAAAUGUUAAGCUAAUUGGGAAAGAAGUAUUCCUUCUUGGGAUCUGUUUAACCAGCACAAACCAGAAGCCAAACUAACAAAUGCAAUCCUAUUUCUUUCUAGAUUUGAUCAGUUACAAAAAAUGCGUACCUUAAGGGUAAUUCUCUUUGAUCUUAUGGGAUAACAGAGUGUAUCAGACACUUUGAGUAUUAACUUGAUAUAGCCAAAUAAAAAAAAAACAACCAGCUGAGAGAACUGCCUCAGCCAUCCAUUUUGGAAGCAAAUUCAGAUUGUAUCGGCUGUAAAAUAUGUGCACUACACUUGCUUUAUGAAGUAUGCAGCGUUCAGAAGCAAGGUCCCUUCAAGGAAAAUAUUUGAGACUGAGAGAUAACUUUAGGGCUGUAUGUUUUCAGGCUUGGAUUUGUUUGUCGAUCCCUACAAAUGCAGCCUUGCAAAAACCAAGUUAUUCAGACAGAGAUGGAAGCAAGCUUGCUAUAUCUCUUACCUAAAUAUAUAUCUUUUAUUAAAUAAUUAUUUCAUUUGAAUCUAUAUAUUCUUCUCAUAAAAUGUUAGAAGGAGUUAAGGAUUAUCAUUGUGCAUAGUUAGCUGGGAUAUACAUUUGGUUUCUUGAGCUUCUUUCACCAUUUGCAGAAGAACUGAAUUUCUUCCCACUGACACUCAGGACAGCCACUCAUUGACUUUUCAUUCUGAUACACUGAGAAAAAAACAUUGGUGAAAUCCUGAUUGUUCUAGGUAACAAGCAUGAAGACUGCAUAAUGCUGAAGUAAAAUUAUUUCUCAUCAGAAAGUGGAAAGACGACUGAGCCUGCUCUGUGAUGAGAACAUCAUAAAAUCCCUUCAACUACAAUAGUGGAUAUGCUAAUAACUAUAAAUCUUUAAGAUGAUAAAAAGAAGGCUAUUGCAGAUAUAUCAAGAAAAAAAUGUUUGACUUUUCUUUCUCACACUUUGUACAGAGAUAUUUGCUCUUAGAUUUAAGGCUUUAUUUUUCUUAUUAACGUACGUGUCCAGGCUGCUGGGUAGAGUGAAUUUCUCCUGGGCUUUCAAUAUUUUAAUGUUUAGACUUUCAGGGAUUCAGAAGCACAGAAAUAGUUUUAAAUGCUCAUGUUUUUCUAACCAGAGUUUAUGCAAAAACUUGUUAGUUUUCUGAGAAGUUACUGUACUUGGGAGUGCAUGUGAGAAUUUCUCCUGAGUUUUUAAAUCCCCCUACUAAAGCUGAAGCAGAUACUGCUUGCAUUUCUUCCUUCCUAUUCUUCUAGUUGUAAGUACAAUCUGUGCAAACUCAUUAAAACAGAACUAGAAAAGUAUUAAUAUAAUGUUGUAUUCCAUUUACACACUGUCCUUUCCAAAUGACCUUUGUUUUUUGUUUUUUGGUGGAUUUUUUUUGUUUUCUAAUUUUUGUUAAGUAUAAUCAAAAGAGGAAUGGCAUUGAUGCAUCUCUCACUUUCUUUCCUCUUUCCUUGUUCCUGCCUCUCUUCUACAUUUAUUUUCCUAAUAUGGAAAUUAAGAUGUUGCCAUCACUACCCACAGGGUUCAUCACUUGUUAUUUCCCAGAUAUUUCUCUUUGCACUUUACCACCUGUAUACUGAUGUUCAAAUACAGCUGGCCCAUCCUCUUUCCAAAGAUCCCUCUUUCCUCACUUCUGUCCCAAGUUCCUGCUUGUGGUCAGAUUUCUAGCAACAGUGCAUUCCAGUCAUUUCCAAUCUCAUAUUAUUCUGGCAUGUAAACAUGCAAAACAAGAUUGUUAUUAACUUUUGUUUACCUAAGACUUCGUCUUUUUGUUUUGAUCUCGGUCAAAAAUUGAUACAUUCUAGUGCUGUUUCUGUGUUUCCCUCAUUCUCAUUUUAAUCUUUUUUUUUAUGUUAUGCAUCAUAUAGAUUUUCCUGUGUAUUUUUAAUGUGUACCUCUCCCCUCCCCCUCUGGUGUUUGCUUGUUUGUUUUGUUUUUUCUGCUGCUGCUGUCAUUUUUAAUGUAUAUGUGGAAGUUAAUGUAUAUAUAUAUACUUUCAGUUUGGGAAUGCUGGGUUUCAGCACAAUAGUGUGGUAUGUAUCUACUUCUGUUAUUUGUAUGCACAGUGCUCAUGGUUGCAUACUCAGUUGCUGUGGUCAUCAGAAAAAUUCAUUGCUUGUAGGGAGAUGGUGGUUAUUGUCUGGGCAGUCCAAAAUACCGUGAAAGCAAUUUUGCAUAAUGACACAAAGGCAGCUGUUAGAAAUGAUAUAUGCCACAUAGCAAGGCAGGCAUACCGACCAACUGGGAGCCUGAGAACUGAAAACUACCAUGAAUCAGUAUAUUUUUUCAAUUUUCAACAAGAAGUAACUUGGUGCAAUUUUUGUUAAGAAGUCUGGAACAAAGAUACCUACUAACACUUGUCUGUUCACAAAGUCAUGCUUUGUAGGGUUCACAUGCAAAUUUAUAUAGGUCUUCACUUUAAGGCUCACUUUCAGUUUGUUAUAUAUGUAUCUUUUCCUUUUGGAGUAGUUAUUAUUUUUAAUACACACGGCAUUAAUUUCAUUUAAAAUAUGGCUUUCAUGGUUUUACAACAUUAGGUAAAAACCCCACAUAUUUUGCAAGUAGAUUUGGCAGUAGGUUGGUCCUGCAAAAUGCUAACGCUAACAAUGAGGUGUCAGAGACAUCUUUUCUCUCCCUCCUCUCUCUUACUCACCCGUCUAGCUGUGUAUACAUAUCAUGGAAACCUGACAAUUUCCAGGGUGCUCAGCUCCAAUAAACUAAUUUCACAAUUCAUGCAUUGCAGAAGAUAUGUGAAAAAUAGCCAGUUUUCUGUUGUGAUCUGGGGGCACCAUAAAUUAAACUUAGUAACUGGAGAAGUAGUAACAACGAUCAGAUUUGUCAAAGGGACUAUGAAGACUCCUCAUUUCAUAAAUGUACAGAUCACAAGAUGAGGUGUAUAGCUUGGUUGAGAAUAUAAAUCAAUAAUUGUGGUCUCAUUUCCACAUGGAUAAGGCUCAGGCUCAUACAGAUACAUAGAUAGAUAGAUUGGUAGAUAGAUAGAUAGAUAUUCCUUUUUUUCUUUCCGAAAAAAGAUGAAUCCCUCUGAGUUGUUGCAAUUAUAGUGCAAACACCUCUAUUGUAUUUCAGGGAAACAAAUCAAUUUAUAAAAAUUAUUUCCCCUCAGUUACAUUCGGUUCUGGCAAAUGGUACAUAAAUCUGGCACACAUCGUGAGCCAUACACUGAGAAAUGGUUUGUCUCAUUCCCUUAAUCCUGUUAAAGUGAGGACUUGCGUUCCCUAUGCAUUCAUUGGUGACAGCAGAAUUUGUCCCAGUGGAUUUUGUGAGGUGGACUUCACAGAUGCAAUCAAUUCAGUUAACGUAUUCAGCCCAGGUGAGCCCACGAGUACAGUACUUCCUAUGUCCCUUUCUGCCUACUGGUGCCAAGGAGAGUGCAGCACAUUCCCUAAUGGUACAAACAAAUCAAACCAUCCUGAUCUGUCAGAUAUUAAUGUACUGAAAUGAAGCUCGAAGUGUAGUUAUGAGAACAGUGUCUGCUUGAAGUCCCAGUUAUGGACCAUAACCAUGCUGAAUUACUAACGAGUCAGCUGCUUGUCACGGCUGAGGGCUGUUUGACCCAGGUGGAAAUUGGAAGCUGAAUGUGAACAGGUCUUAGUUAGAAAGAUAUAACUUCAAAAAUUAAAUGCUUAAGAUACUAUUAGCUGUGAAUGUGAGACGUGCCUGUGAUCUAGGAGUUUCCAUAUAGGAGUUUCCACUGAGGGGUUUUCAGAUUUGAUCUAGAUUCAGUAAUAUACACUUUGGCUGAAAUUAAACCAUUAACUCAUCUAUGUGCAUGGAUACCUCAGUCAACAGGCUCCUUCCUUAUGCUCCCACCAACAAAGAAGAUGGAGCUUAUUGUCAGCUAUAAACAAAAGCUAGUGUUACAGUCAGCUGAGGGAAGUAUUCUUUGGCAUCCCUAAAUCAACUGAUGUGAUCCCUAAUGAAAAUAAUAAUCAUAUGAUUAAACGUUUUCCACUGAAAUAAGCCAACAUCUUACUAACACGGACACCCUAAAGAAAAGACACUCUUGAACAAUGAUUACAGAUAGCUGAAAAUUGCAAAAGUGGCUUCUGGAGAUUCAUUACAAAGAUCUUUUCACUAAACACCUUGUUUCUCUAAAAAUUUUACAUGUACAUAAAUACAUACUAUAUAUAUGUGUGUGUAUAACACCUGCAGCUUGCUCCAUUAAAAGGUCUGCACAGUUAAGUUUGGAAAAUAAGUGUAUGAGUUAAGGGGACCAUGCUUCAGUAACCAGUCCAGUUAUUACUAUUUUCUAAUUUAGAAACUUUGUGUUAAAAGAAAUGCCAGCUGCCUCAUUGCAUCAUAAUGAAGUGUUCCAGGGUCUGACAUAGAUGUUUUGGACCACAGAAAGAGAAAAAAAAUGCGGGUGUACCCAUGUUUAUGCAGCCUGGUGAGAGAAUGCAUUCCAUUAAGUUAAGGUUAUUUUGGAAUAGUCUUGCAUAUUUAAUUGAAUUGACAUCUGAUUGAAGCAGAAAUCUUCCUGACAGAUGAAAGCUGUGUCAGAUUGAAACGUCUCAAGAAAAUCGAAACGCAUUUUUGAUAUGUUUUCUGUACACUUCAUACCUUUUUGUUGGCCACAAAGAAUUUCAUUUUUACAGUACAAAAGCAACAGAGCUCUUUCACUUGAACUAAUGGGGUUCUAAUGAAUUUUAUGAAUACUAAUACACACACAAUACAUUUCAUACAGUUGGGCCGUAGCGCACUAUUUCUAAAAUGGGUCUGCACAAAUUAACUCUGAAGGGUGUCUGUGACAGCCUUUCAUCCAUUAACUGCCUGGUGCGAGCCCCCACGACAGCUGAUUUCAGAGCUCACCCCGCCUGAUUCUUGCCGGUGGAAAUUUGCCAAAAUGAUUACAUCAACUUUCAAUAAACCACAUGUGCGUGACAACAGUAAGCAAACAAUUACUUAAAACCCUAUAAUAUAAUUUGUAAUUUGACAUAAUAGACUGUUCUUUCAGGGUUCGCAUUUCCAUGACAAAGCCUCAAGAACUGGGGCAGUUCUGCAAACAAGCAUACGCUCUGAGUAUCGGCAAGAGAGGUGCCCUUGGCCCUCCUCUCCUCCAGGCUCCGGGUUUGCACAACCGCAGAGGUGCCUGGAACCAGCCAUCAUUUUGGGAAGCUCACCAAAACGCCACCGCUUCUUUCAUUUUAGCUCUGCGGGGUGGCAAUGCCCAGCUUGCGUUUUGCCUAACAAGACAGCGAGGGGGCUGAGGAAAAUAAACCUGUAGUAAUGAUUUAUGGAAACAAUAACACUGCCCUGAGUUUUAAAAACAUCUGAAAAUAAAUGUCAUGCCCUCACCUCAUCCCCAGCUCUGCGUGACAUUUUCCAUCCUCUGGUGUUACAAAGAGCGAGACAGAGGCUCAGGAAAGACGUGUGGUGGUAAAUGUAUUUCUGCUUAAACCUAGGAUUUUUCAGUGAGGUCACAACCUGCUAUCUAUGCAGCAUUCAAAAACUAUAAGAUUACUGCGCAUUCGGGUCUUGAAGCCCUUCUGUUUUCUUUGUUCAAAGACUGAGAGAGAUCCUUGACUUCUAUUCAGGAGGUAGAUCAGCUUAAAUUCUCAUUCUCUUUCUCCUUCCCCGCCUCCCUGCUUUUAGCUGAGUGAUUUAUUUAAAAAAACUGCGACUUCUCUAAUUUUCCAUUUAUGGGCAAGGGGUUCUUUGAAGCAAUAAAAGGACAUGGGGCCGGCAGGGAGGAAUCAGGCAGCAUCUAUUGUAGGAAAAUGAAAAAUAAUUGCAGUUUUAUGUGGGGUGAGGACACUUAAAGGAACGCAAAGGCUUUAUCUGCAGAUACUUGUUAACAUUUUGUUUAGUCUAUGGCCAUCAGAGGAAGAUGUCAAUUAACUCUGACUUUUCCUAUAUCCUCAAGAGUAAAAGUCUCAUUUUUAGUCUGUUUUCCAAGUUAACUCAAAAUCAGAAAGUGGAGUUUGUCUGUUCAUAAUGGAAAAAAACCACAGAAGUUUGUCACAACUUUGAAUCUGGCUGGGAUUAUGGAAUAAGAGCAGUAGCAUUCUGUAAUGUCUUCUGAGUCACUGAAAAAGCUUAUAAGGUACUUACCAAAAGCAUACAAAAGUCUAAAAACAAAUAAGGCUAUUUUUGUAAUAUGGUGAUUUAUGCUUUACUAAAAAAGUUCACUAUGAAUGCUGGAAGUAUAUCAGUGAUGCUGUAGUAAGGCCAUUGAUUGCAGGCUGUUAUGUCACUUUGCUUCCAACCCUGAGUGUGUCCCUGUGCAAACUGUUUUCACAGUCCCUUGGCCCGGACUGGGAGAAGAGGAGCCUGAGCGCUCCGAUGAAUGGCAGUGAGCAUUGUCAGGGAGGCAGGAAAAUUGAGUCCCGGCUCUGGCUGCCAGGUCAGGAGCUGCAGGAGCUAAUUGUGGCAAUGGUAAUGAGACUGAGCAGGCAGCAGAUGCUCACGUGCCUUUACAAUCCAAAUCCCACCAACAAAUUCCUCCCACAGAAACUUUAAGGGACGUCUUGGCACCCUGGAGAUGGUGAUAGACCCGGUCCCAGCCACAUGCCACCUGCCAGAGCUAUUGUUUAAUAAAGGGGGGAAAAAAAAGCCUAUUAUGAUAACAAAGUUGUUUGCUGUCUCUAGCAAUGACUUUAUGGCACCAGUUUUACCAUACUGCAUCUAUUGGGGGGGGAAAAAAAAAAAAAAAAAAAAAAAAAGGAACAUCUGAUUCUUUAAAGAGAAACAGUUGUAUUGAGCACUGUUAACAACUUACUUGGGAAGCCGGAUGUUCAGUAUAUGUUACAUAUUCCGCUGAUAAACCAUGCUUGCCUUUUUCCCAUUACAGCUCCCACUGUGCCUGCUUCCUACAGCAGGUUUACAUUUCCACAUGUUUUCCCAUGACAUAAAAGCGCGGAGCAUUUCUUUAUUCCUUUUUUUUCUUUUUUCUUUUUCUUUUUUUCCCAGCAAAAUCAAGAACAUAGAAUGCAGAUACCCAUGUACAGUGCUGUAUAAAUAUUUAUUGUGAAAUAAAACAAACUGCAUAUUUGGUCCAGACCCUUGGAGCAGGGUGGCUGGUAAGCUGUGCCUGAGGUUUUGAAGAGGGGAAGGCCACCAGCACCAGGUUCUCUUACUGGCUGUGGUGUGUAACACACGAUUGCUAAAUGCUGCCACGUGGACAGGUUCAGAUUCUUGCAGGAAAUCUAUACCCAAGAGUAUCUGUUUCUGAACAAGUCUUACCAAUUGUCUUUCAUUGUCAUCAGAAUUUGAGCCCUGUGAGGCUCAGAAUACGAGGUGUCCUCGGGGUGAGUUGGUAGCAGGCAGCUGCUGGCAGGGGGUGCAGAUGAGUGGAUCUGGACUGUUUGGCUUAGGCUGUCGGGGGAAGAUUGAAGACAUGCUUUGUCUGGACUGGAGACACUUGAAGCAGCAAUUACGUUCCUUUUUUAAACUCCCAGGGGUAGUGGAGAAAGUUAAAGGUGCUUAAAAAGCUUGGUUUGAGCAGGUAAUUUAACCAAGUGUGCACUGUAGCCCUGGCUAAAUUCACAUCUGCACCAAACUUCAACCUCUUCCUUUACAAAUCCUCAUCCUUGUGAAGAAUCACAAAUGUAUUGCCCUUCUGCCCUGUAAAAUGUGAGAAUGGCCCUGAAGAUAUCAUCACAAGUUAGUGUUUUACUAACUAGUGUUUUUAGGGUGCUAGGGCAAGGUGUUCAUCCCUAGAGAACUGCAGCACUGUGGUGGAAAGCAUUUCAAAUUUAUUUCAAGCUCAAGUAUGUCAAUGACAUGCAUCACAUCAAUUAUAGGUAGUAUAUCAAUAUGUGUACACAUAGGUGUAUAUAUAUAUAUAGUAUAUCAAUUUGUUAACAACUGGAAUAAAAGCAGACAUAGGACAUUCAAUGCAGUUAUAUUAGUGCAUAAGGCUGAAAACAUUAUGCACCUCAAGAAUGUCCCAGAUCUUGACAGUAUUUUCCUUAUGGGGAAGUGGGGUCUGGGGUCUUCAACUAUGUCAGUGUUUCUCCAGUCUCACUGGGCAUGGACCAAGUGUUACAGCCACUGCCUCUGGAGCAUCUGGUUCUGGUGACAGAAAAAAUGAUGCAUUAGCAAACGGGCAGUUGUGUUCAACCUCAGCCACGGUUGGGUUAACGUGGCAUUUGUGAGAAAGUGUUAUGUGGUUUCUUGAGGUGUGGAGGGAAAGAAGAGUACCAUAUUUUUAAAGGUGCCUUUGGUAAUGUCCCAGGCAUAAAUAAUGCUGAAAACCUCGUUUUACUGAGGUGCAUACCUCGCUCUUAAAGGCAAUUUGAGGUAAAAGGCUAGCAGAGAUACUCUACGUCAUAGCUUACAACUAAACAGAAUGAUAAACACAAUGUCAGAUGCAUUUAAAGGGAUCAGACCACAGAAUUUUCAUUGUAUUCUGUGCCUGUCUGUUAAUGACUGCUCGUAUUAAUUUAAAAGUAACCUGUAAUGUGUUAUGGGCAUUUCUUCGUAAUCAAGAUUCAGUAAGCUGUGAGUCUCAGGCAUUUUUCAUUUUUGCACUUGGUAAAACGAUGAGAGAUAAAUGUCUUAUUGGUUCAGAAAGAGACCAAAUAUCUUGGUACAGUACUUACCAUGCAUGAACCAUGUACAAGUUUAACUUGCUAUUUAUAUACACAAUGCUGCAUUGCAAAACUGCCAUGAAAAUUUACUCGUGUAGCAGAAAAUCUGCUCCCCUGCCCUUUGCCACAAUGAUUGAUGAUAAUGUAAGAUCUAAUUUUGAACUCGCUUAUUAAAAAAAAAAAAAAGUUCUCAACCAUCAGCAAAUGUAUAAAAUUUUGUGGUUUGAUGUAUUUUAAUGAAUGACUAGAUUUCUCAAAGAAACCUGAAACGGCAAAAAGCGUAGAUCAGGAGCAUGAACUAAACUUCUGUGUUCACCCCUCCUCUUUUCUGUUUCAAGGGCUAACCCUAAACCUAACUCUCUGGUCACCCCAUCCUUCCAAUCAUGGGCAGGACGUUUUUCUACUGAGGCCAAGAAGACAUUUUUCUGAUAAAGCUGUUGUGUUUACAGGUGUCUCAGAAGUGACAGCAGUCACUGAGGAUGCUCCUGUUGGGAAGAAGGGGCAUAACAGGGGCAGAGCUCUCAGGGUUAUGGUAAUUUAAGGUGCAGAUUUAUGGGAAGUCAGGAUUGAUAGUGUCAAGAGGAGUUUUGGCCUUUCUAAUUUAUCUAUCAGCAGCCUCUGUCCCCAGUUGGGAUAGUCAGUGCUCUGCUGCAAAACUGAUGCCUGACUGAGGGACAAAUAAAGGUUAAAAUAAAUGCCCCAUCUAAUCUCAUUGGGCUUACUUAAGAAGACUGUGAUACACAGGAGGUGCUAUUUGAUAAUGCAGUGGUCCACUCAACCUUCAAUGUCUCUAAGAGCAAUCCAACCUCUAAUGCAUCCCAGUACUGGAAGAGGUAUCAGGUACAAGCACAUCUGGUGAGACAGCGAACAGAUUGGUCAAAUACAGUACUACUCUGUGAUAAGUUCUGUAAUGUGGUUGUCCGUGCCAAAAAAUCAGGCAGAAAUGUCAGCCUCUUUCACGCCUUUCAGUCCUCCAGCAACUCCUAUGUGGCUCCAAAAGUGAGUCUGAAGUGGUAAAACACUCAUCUUCCUACAUGGGUACCCUUUGCCCAUUCUGCUGCAUCAGAUGGAAAUGUAAGGUGAAAAGAUGAGAGAGAGACCUGGUUUUGGUUUUACUUCGGGCAACAAGCACAUUGAAGAGGAAGGGGGAGAGAAGGAAGGAAAGAGGGACAGACAGAGGGAGAGGAAGGAGAAAGAGAGGGAGAGAACAACCCCACAGUUUUGUCAUUCAUUGUGAUGGAAAUGUUCUUUUAAAAUACACUUCUGACUUAGGAAGACUUGUCUUUCACAUUCAUUACACAGGUGUCAAAUCAAAUUUUGUCUUGCUAUGUCUUGUGCACUGGAGCAUAGUGCAUAUGACAUUUUGUAACAUGUUGCAACAUAAGGCAAUAAAUCAUACUGAAAGUGAAUAAAAUCUCAUUUCUUUUUCGGGGGUGGGGUGGAUGAACCAAAUGGCACUGUGCUAAUUUCACCGUGCUUCUGUCAUUGUCAGGAAAAUCAUUUUCUUUCUCCCCUGUCCCUGGCGAGGAAGUGUUUCUCAAAGCAGUUCCUCCAAGUAAAAUUCUUUGUCACCUAAGUUUUGGAUACAUACCAUGCACCUAGGGGAUUGGUAACUUUUAGAAGGAAAUAGAUGCUUCCAAGCUCAAUAAAACUCCUUUGAGAAACAAGAUGGACUUUAAAGCAUCUCCACCAGAGAAGUAAACCUAUUUUCAGCUAAGUGAAAAAUUACUUAAGCUGCUGUGCAGCUGUGGCUUCUGGAGCAGCAGUGUAGGCAAAAGGAAGUCCGAUUGGGAGAUGCUUUCUUUUCUUUCCACAGGUGCAUUGCUGGGCAAUUCUGAAUGCAACUCUGGAUGAGAUUUUGCAGUCAGUAGAUAGGUAUGGGCUAGGAAUAGCCAGGAGGCCAGCAGCACUCCGCUCACGUGCCCAGCAGCACUCAAAUACCACACUCCAUAAGAAAUGUCUGCGGGCUGCACGUGGGACUCUCCCUUCCCUUUGUAAGGGAAGUCUGCCAUGUCAAAGGUGGACGGGAGUUUAAGAGACUUUCAGACAGGACUCUUUCACUGGCUGAGUGAGGAAUCAGCCCUGAGAGUGCUGUGAUUGUUCCCAAGCGCCACUCACUCCAACGCCGCUGCCUCUGCACCAACAGAGCGAGGAGGGUCUUCUCCAAGCUCAGAGGUUCAAGCGGAUGCUGGAAAAAAAAAAGAAAAGCAGAGGAAUGCUUCCCCAUUGCUUUAGUUCAGAAUCCUGAUAAGGGCUGCGCCAGUGACAUCUUUAUCUUCAUUGUAAGUGUUAAUGCUCGGUGGCAUGACAGUGUGGACUUGUGUGACAACGUUAUAAAUAACCUGAUGGUGAACUUGCCAAAAGAAAAAAAGAAAAAAAAGGAAAAGAGACGCUGCUUUUCCCACCUAUAGGCAUCCUGCUAUCUGUUAAUACAGAUAUUAAUGAGAGAGUAUCUCAGAGGGCGUCUCGGAGAAAGAUCAAGGUGAUGAAAUGGAAUUACUAUUUGGAAAGUGAUAAGAACUGCACUAUGAAGUGAAUUCUGCAUAGCUAAAUGUACCCAACAGUUACUCAUAGGAACACGUUAUCAUUUAAAUAUAUUAUAUACAUAUAUAUAUAAAACGUGUUAGCAUUUCAGCAGGGAAAUUAUUUUUCUAUGAAUUAUUCAUCUUCUGUAGUCGUGUAAUGGGGCAGUGACUUCUUUUAUCAACAAAAUACUUUUUAUUGACACUCAGAACUGCAUUUCAUUGAACCCAUUUCCCCAGUUAUCGUCAGAAAAGAGUUUACACUGGCAUUUUGGAAAAAUGUUAUGGGAAGAUUUAUCAGAGCUGCAAAAAAAGCUGCCCGUGAACUAAUAGAAUUAGAUUAUCUUGGAAUUUUCUUCACCAAAACUUAGAAUGGCCACUAAUUCCUUUCUUUGCUCUUUUGGUGUUUGCAAAGGGGUUCACUAAAGCCUGAAUUGAUAUAAUUAUUGGCUCGGAUUGUUAGAGAUUUAGGCCAGAUGGCUAUGGGUUUCUAAAGUCCCAGUUGCUUGUGUUAGCUUUUCUAGUUUGCCUAUAGGGUUUGGGGAUCAGCAAUUUGAAAGGGCUGCAAACUUGUAAAACAGUAUUAUUCAUGGGGGCAGAAUGUUCAUCGGCGUGACCCAGUACUAAAUACAUUCAUUAUAGGCAUUUCUAUUCUGCACAAUUUGCCACACGGCGCUGGUUUGUGAAAAAAAAAAAGAGACAAUGGCUUAUAAAAUGCUUUUGAAUGCUUAAAAAGAAGGAGAGUUCACGCUGAGCCUCCUCUGCUUUCUCUUUCAACAAGAACCUCCUUAGUGACUUUGGCUGAGCUCUGCGGAGAGCAAGUAAAUUGGAAGAAUCGGAGAUUUACUUUUUACGUUUGUGGACAUGGCGGGGGAAUAUCUGAGGGAAAAAAAAAAAGAAGCAGUAAAAGAGAGUGAUGGUGAGAUUAUGUGAAACAGCAAUAAACAAGUGGGAGAAGUUAGCAGGGAAACAAUGGGGGGCUGAAGUAAGCUAAAAUGAUAAACUAAAGGGGAAAUGGGGAUCACGUCACGAGCAGAUACACGAGAUGUCUGCUUGGGAGACCUGGCUGCAGCGCGGAGCUCGUGCAGCCAUCUGCGCGGUUUCUGGGACACAGCCCUCCGAUAUCUGAUUUUAUUUUUCGGUGCAAGCUGCCACGUAAACAAGAGAACACUAAAGGAGGCUGAGGGGAACGAUCACUUUCGGAGCGCUCCGUUUGCCCCACGGCCCCUUCUUUCAGACGCCUGGCACGAGCACAGCCCGAGCGUGGCACCCGCCGGGAGGAGACGGAUCUGAGGAACCGCGCAACGGCACCCAGCACAGCACACGCGCCGGGGGCAGAAGUGCUGCGGGCAGCGUCGCUGAGCGGGCGGCGGAGACUCCGAGGAGCGAGAGGAGCUCUCCGCGCACAAACGGGCACUGCGGAGCGGCAGCCGACAGGGAGACGAGCGGCACCGAGACGCUCGCGAAGCACUUAACUAAACGGGAGGACCGCGCCGUGCCAGCGGGACCGGGACCGGGACCCCUCGGAACGCUGCGGGCGCGACGCCUCCGGCGCUGCCCCCCCUCCUC